rnacentral:rRNA from 1 species
GAUGAACGCUGGCGGCGUGCCUAAUACAUGCAAGUCGAGCGAACAGACGAGGAGCUUGCUCCUCUGACGUUAGCGGCGGACGGGUGAGUAACACGUGGAUAACCUACCUAUAAGACUGGGAUAACUUCGGGAAACCGGAGCUAAUACCGGAUAAUAUAUUGAACCGCAUGGUUCAAUAGUGAAAGACGGUUUUGCUGUCACUUAUAGAUGGAUCCGCGCCGCAUUAGCUAGUUGGUAAGGUAACGGCUUACCAAGGCAACGAUGCGUAGCCGACCUGAGAGGGUGAUCCGCCACACUGGAACUGAGACACGGUCCCGACUCCUACGGGAGGCCGCCGUAGGGAAUCUUCCGCAAUUGGCGAAAGCCUGACGGAGCAACGCCGCGUGAGUGAUGAAGGUCUUCGGAUCGUAAAACUCUGUUAUUAGGGAAGAACAAAUGUGUAAGUAACUAUGCCCGUCUUGACGGUACCUAAUCAGAAAGCCACGGCUAACUACGUG